rnacentral:rRNA from 1 species
UACGGGGGGGGCAAGCGUUGUUCGGAAUUACUGGGCGUAAAGGGCUCGUAGAUGGCCAACUAAGUCAGACGUGAAAUCCCUCAGCUUAACUGGGGAACUGCGUCUGAUACUGGAUGGCUUGAGUUUGGGAGAGGGAUGCGGAAUUCCAGGUGUAGCGGUGGAAUGCGUAGAUAUCUGGAGGAACACCGGUGGCGAAGGCGGCAUCCUGGACCAACACUGACACUGAGGAGCGAAAGCCAGGGGAGCAAACGGG